rnacentral:rRNA from 1 species
CGCUCCUACGGGGGGCAGCAGUGAGGAAUAUUGGUCAAUGGCCGAGAGGCUGAACCAGCCAAGCCGCGUGAGGGAAGACGGCCCUAUGGGUUGUAAACCUCUUUUGUCGGAGAACAAAACCCGGGACGUGUCCCGGACUGCGUGUAUCCGAAGAAAAAGCAUCGGCUAACUCCGUGCCAGCAGCCGCGGUAAUACGGAGGAUGCGAGCGUUAUCCGGAUUUAUUGGGUUUAAAGGGUGCGCAGGCGGGAGAUCAAGUCAGCGGUAAAAUGUCGGGGCUCAACC